rnacentral:rRNA from 1 species
GGACCCUUCGGGAGGCUUGCACAGGUGCUGCAUGGCUGUCGUCAGCUCGUGUCGUGAGAUGUUCGGUUAAGUCCGCUAACGAGCGCAACCCUCGCUGUGUGUUAUAUGUGUCACACGGGACUGCCGGUCUUAAGCCGGAGGAAGGUGGGGAUGAUGUCAAGUCAGCAUGGCCUUUAUAUCCUGGGCUACACACACGCUACAAUGGCCAACACAAUAGGUUGCUAAGCCGCGAGGUGGCGCCAAUCCAUAAAGUUGGUCUCAGUUCAGAUUGUAGGCUGCAACCCGCCUGCAUGAAGAUGGAGUUGCUAGUAACCGCAGGUCAGCUAUACUGCGGUGAAUACGUUCCCGGGGCUU